GGAUGAACGCUGGCGGCGUGCCUAAUACAUGCAAGUAGAACGCUGAAGGAAGGAGCUUGCUCUUUCCGGAUGAGUUGCGAACGGGUGAGUAACGCGUAGGUAACCUGCCUGGUAGCGGGGGAUAACUAUUGGAAACGAUAGCUAAUACCGCAUAACAGUAGAUAUUGCAUGACAUCUGCUUGAAAGGGGCAAUUGCUCCACUACCAGAUGGACCUGCGUUGUAUUAGCUAGUUGGUGAGGUAACGGCUCACCAAGGCGACGAUACAUAGCCGACCUGAGAGGGUGAUCGGCCACACUGGGACUGAGACACGGCCCAGACUCCUACGGGAGGCAGCAGUAGGGAAUCUUCGGCAAUGGACGGAAGUCUGACCGAGCAACGCCGCGUGAGUGAAGAAGGUUUUCGGAUCGUAAAGCUCUGUUGUAAGAGAAGAACGAGUGUGAGAGUGGAAAGUUCACACUGUGACGGUAUCUUACCAGAAAGGGACGGCUAACUACGUGCCAGCAGCCGCGGUAAUACGUAGGUCCCGAGCGUUAUCCGGAUUUAUUGGGCGUAAAGCGAGCGCAGGCGGUUAGAUAAGUCUGAAGUUAAAGGCUGUGGCUUAACCAUAGUACGCUUUGGAAACUGUUUAACUUGAGUGCAAGAGGGGAGAGUGGAAUUCCAUGUGUAGCGGUGAAAUGCGUAGAUAUAUGGAGGAACACCGGUGGCGAAAGCGGCUCUCUGGCUUGUAACUGACGCUGA
rnacentral:rRNA from 1 species